UUCUAGUCUUCCUCUAGCUAGCCAAGCUUGAUUCUUUGAGAGAGAAUCCUGGGUGGUUACAGUAAAGGACCUCUGUGUACAAGUGAAUGAUGUCUCCACCAUGAUCCUGAUGGCAAGACUCAUGCCUGUUUUCAGGCAGCACUCUCUCCCUGGCACCAAGUUCAGUGGCCAGCACGUAAAAGACACUCAGUCCUGAUUGAAUAAACGUGGGCAAGACUUUCCUUAAUGCAUUCCAGCAGCCUAUUGGAUGAAGGAAGAUGGAUCACAGGCUUCUGCAUAAAGAGGUCAAGACCUGAUUAAGGUAGUGGCAGAGAGCUUCCUGAGGCCUGGAAUACCCAACAAACA